CUUCGGUCUUUCUCUCCAGUACUAGGACCCAAAAUAGCUCAGGAUCCGUGCGCUCGACAGAAACUCUUUCUCCUCAAACCUCGUCUGCAACGCAAUACAGACAGUGGGAUCACGCUGUCCCCAGAGACUCGGUUCCAGAAAAGGGAGAAGCAAAAAGGCGAAGAGAAGCAGAAUACGGAGAUGCAAGUCGAAGAGGAAACCAAGAAUGAUGUGAUGUAAAUACAAGUGAGGGGAAAAACGGCAGAUUGAGAUGGACAGAAAUGAGAACCGACACAAGAGAGAGAACAUCUUCGGGCAACGGCUGAUUCCGUAGUGAUCCAAUGCGGAGACAGGAGCCGUCGGCGAUCAGAGUGUUUAAUUCUCUGUUAGAGAGCGGAAGCGCUGCUGAUUUGGGGAACAUGACAGUAUAAAAGCAUUAAUUCCACAGCGAGUAAGGUUUAGUGUUGCUUUUUGAUCAAUCCACAAUUAGCAAUAGUUUCAUUGCCUUGGACUGCGUGGAU
rnacentral:lncRNA from 11 species